AUGGGGUUCAGGGAUUUGAUUCUCUUUAAUCAGGCCAUGCUUGCAAAGCAAUGUUGGAGGCUCCUGGUUGAUCCCAAUUUCUUAUGCUUUAAGGUCCUAAAAGGGAGAUAUUUCCCACAUGGGGAUUUCUGGAGAUCAGGAUGCCCAAGAUCAGCUUCCUAUACCUGGCGUAGCAUAAUGUUUGGUAAGAAACUGCUGCAAAAGGGCUUGUUAUGGCGUGUGGGAGAUGGUAAGCAAAUCUCUUUGCUUAAGGAUAAUUGGAUCCCAGAUGCAUUUCUAGGAUUGCCAUGUACCAACGUCCCAGUGGAAGAGGAUUGGACUGUCAACCAUUUGAUCUCAACAGAUGGUAAAUACUGGAAUGAAGAGGCAGUUAAUAAAAUGUUUCCAGAAGAAUUAGCCGUUAAGAUUAUGAAGAUCCCUCUAAGUUCAGAAGGAUGUUCUGACUUUGCUUCAUGGCCAUACACAAAGGGGGGCAUCUACACUGUUCGGUCUGGAUACAACCUUGCGAGAUCUGUAGCUUUCUGGAAAAAAUGUAGCGUGGCUAGUAAAGGAUCUUCCUCUAAUCUGGAGGAAACAAAAAAUACAUGGAGGAAGCUAUGGAAAAUACAAUGCCUAGGGAGAAUGAAAAUUAUCUUAUGGAGAAUGGUUCAUAAUUGUCUACCUACUGGAGAACAACUCCAUCGACGUUCAAUGUCAUUAUGUUAG
rnacentral:rRNA from 1 species